rnacentral:rRNA from 1 species
GACGAACGCUGGCGGCGUGCUUAACACAUGCAAGUCGAACGAUGAAGCGGGUGCUUGCCCUCGUGGAUUAGUGGCGAACGGGCGAGUAACACGUGAGUAACCUGUCCUUUUCUUUGGGAUAACGGCUGGAAACGGCUGCUAAUACUGGAUAUUCAGGCUGCAUCGCAUGGUGUGGUUUGGAAAGGUUUUUUCUGGGAUUGGGUGGGCUCGCGGCCUAUCAGCUUGUUGGUGGGGUGAUGGCUUACCAAGGCUUUGACGGGUAGCCGGCCUGAGAGGGUGGUCGGUCGCACUGGGACUGAGAUACGGCCCAGACUCCUACGGGACGCAGCAGUGGGGAAUAUUGCACAAUGGACGAAAGUUUGAUGCAGCGACGCCGCGUGGAGGGUGUAGGCCUUCGGGUUGUGAACUCCUUUUUCUCGCGAAAAAGGCACAGUUUUGGCUGUGUUGAUGGUAGUGGGGGAAGAAGCGCCGGCUAACUACGUG